UACAGAGGAGCCAAGCGUUGUCCGGAUUGACUGGGCGUAAAGCGCACGCAGGCGGUUGCGCGCGUGGGGUGUGAAAUCUGGCCGCUUAACGGCCAGGCGCCAUCCCAUACGGCGCGACUGGAGACUUGCAGAGGUCGGUGGAAUUGCCGGUGUAGUGGUGAAAUGCGCAGAUAUCAGGAGGAACACCGGUGGCGAAGGCGGCUUUCUGGGCCUUACCUGACGCUGAGGAGCGAAAGCUGGGGGAGCGAACGGG
rnacentral:rRNA from 1 species